UAGGGUAUAGCGAAAUAGGUUAUCGUGUUUGUCUUGGGUAUAAAAGAUUGUAGGUUCGAAUCCUACUACCCUAA
rnacentral:tRNA from 1 species